rnacentral:sRNA from 1 species
AGACCGGCUCGGGGACGGGGAGCGGGCGGCGCGGCCAUGGCGGGCUGCUGCGCCGCGCUGGCGGCCUUCCUGUUCGAGUACGACACGCCGCGCAUCGUGCUCAUCCGCAGCCGCAAAGUGGGGCUCAUGAACCGCGCCGUGCAGCUGCUCAUCCUGGCCUACGUCAUCGGGUGGGUGUUUGUGUGGGAAAAGGGCUACCAGGAAACUGACUCCGUGGUCAGCUCUGUUACGACCAAGGUCAAGGGCGUGGCUGUGACCAACACUUCUAAACUUGGAUUCCGGAUCUGGGAUGUGGCGGAUUAUGUGAUACCAGCUCAGGAGGAAAACUCCCUCUUCGUUAUGACCAAUGUGAUCCUCACCAUGAACCAGACCCAGGGCCUGUGCCCCGAGAUUCCAGAUGAGACCACUGUGUGUGAAUCAGAUGCCAACUGUACUGCCGGCUCUGCCGGCACCCACAGCAACGGUACGAGCUUGCAGCCUCCUGGGGAGGGCAGCCCCUGAGCAGAUCGCCCCCACUGUGGAGGCUCUCUGAUAGAGAAAUCCUCCCAAUUCCUUCACAUGAUGCUGGGUGAGCCAGGUGUCGAGGUUGGGGUCCUGGAACCCCCUCUACAUUCACUGCUGUCAUUGGAGCCCCACAAGCCAUCCCAGCUCUUGCCCUACUGUUUUUUUGUUUUGUUUUGUUUUGUUUUGUUUUGUUUUGAGCCAGAGUCUCUCUCUGUCCCCCAAGCUGGAGUGCAGUGGCAUGAUCUCGGCUCACUGCAACCUCCACCUCCCAGGUUCAAGCAAUUCUCCUGCCUCAGCCUCCUGAGUAGCUGGGAUUACAGGCAUGUGUCACCACGCCCAGCUAAUUUUUGUACUUUUGGUAGAGAUGGGGUUUUACCAUGCUGGCCAGGCUGGUCUCAAACUCCUGACCUCAGGUGAUCCACCCGCCUUAGCCUCCCAAAGUGCUAGGAUUACAGGCACGAGCCACUGUGCCUGGCCUCUUGUCCCAUUCUUUAGCUUGGCAUCACCCUGGCUGAGAUGUGGCCAGCACACAGGUGACUGUCUUCCUCCGAUUCUAACUCCUGGACACUGACACUGUCUAAAUCCCAGAUUUGCACAGCUCAAGACUGGCUGGAUGGGGCUCUCACUCCCUACUCCAAAAAGGUAGAAAAUAGGAGACCCCUGUGGACGUGGGACCCACCCCCCACCCUUGUGCUUGUAGGAGUCUCAACAGGCAGAUGCGUAGCUUUCAACCGGUCCGUCAAGACGUGUGAGGUGGCAGCCUGGUGCCCGGUGGAGGAUGACAAACACGUGCCACAUAGAGACGGGGUUUUGCCAUGUUGGCCAGGCUGGUCUCCAACUCCUGACCUCAAGUGAUCCACCUGCCUUGGCCUCCCAAAGUGCUGGGAUUACAGGCGGGAGCCACCACACCCAGCCAGAAGCCACCACACCCAGCCGGAAGCACCUUCAACUCUGGGUGUCAGCCUUGAGCAGAGACCUGCUUUUUUAAAGGCUGCAGAAAACUUCACUCUUUUGGUUAAGAACAACAUCUGGUACCCCAAAUUUAAUUUCAGCAAGAGGAAUAUCCUUCCCAACAUCACCACUACUUACCUCAAGUCCUGCAUUUAUGAUGCUAAAACAGAUCCCUUCUGCCCCAUAUUCCGUCUUGGCAAAAUAGUGGAGAACGCAGGACACAGCUUCCAGGAUAUGGCCGUGGAGGGAGGCAUCAUGGGCAUCCAGGUCAACUGGGACUGCAACCUGGACAGAGCUGCCUCCCUCUGCUUGCCCAGGUACUCCUUCCGCCGCCUUGAUACACGGGACGUCGAGCACAACGUGUCUCCUGGCUACAAUUUCAGGUUUGCCAAGUACUACAAAGACCUGGCUGGCAACGAGCAGCGCACGCUCAUCAAGGCCUACGGCAUCCGCUUCGACAUCAUCGUGUUUGGGAAGGCAGGGAAAUUUGACAUCAUCCCCACUAUGAUCAACAUCGGCUCUGGCCUGGCGCUGCUAGGCAUGGCGACCGUGCUGUGUGACAUCAUAGUCCUCUACUGCAUGAAGAAAAGACUCUACUAUCGGGAGAAGAAAUAUAAAUAUGUGGAAGAUUACGAGCAGGUAGGCCCCUCCUGGCCCCCAGCAGGCACAGGCCUCUCAUCUCCCGGGUGUGGGAGCCCUGGGCGUGGGCCUGUCUGGGGAGGCCCUUCUGCAGAGGCUGGCACAAGUGUGGUGUGGUGUCCCCCUGUUAACCCGGGCAGUCCUGCCACUCUCAGCAGCUGCUCCAUCCCUAGGCCCCUGCACUAGAUUGACUCUUUAAACCCAGCCUCGUUUCAAUGAGCGACAUCUCAAGUUGGUGAUGAUAAUACAUGCUCUGAGAACACCUGUGUGCACACACUACUUCAGUGCACCUUGCGGAACAGGAAGGGUUGGGUUCCAGGCCUGGGACCAACUUGAGAACCCCUGGCAGUGAAGUCCCGGGAGCGCAUCUCCCUCCCGCCUGCCGCAAGGGGUCCCGGGGGCACCUUGAUCUGCUUGUGUCCUUCUUUGCAGGGUCUUGCUAGUGAGCUGGACCAGUGAGGCCUACCCCACACCUGGGCUCUCCACAGCCCCAUCGAAGAACAGGAGGAGGAGGAGGGAGAAAAGGCCGCCACAUCACCCCAGAGAAAUUUCUGGAAUCUGAUUGAGUCUCCACUCCACAAGCACUCAGGGUUCCCCAGCAGCUCCUGUGUGUUGUGUGCAGGAUCUGUUUGCCCACUCAGCCCAGGAGGUCACCAGUCUGUUCUUGGCUGGAUCAACUCUGCUUUUCCCACAACCUGGGGUUGUUGGGGGAGCGCUGGCCCGAGGCAGUGGCACUGCUGUGGCUUUCAGGGCUGGAGCUGGCUUUGCUCAGAAGCCUCCUGUCUCCAGCUCUCUCCAGGACAGGCCCAGUCCUCUGAGGCACGGCGGCUCUGUUCAAGCACUUCAUGCGGCAGGGGAGGACGCCUGGCUGCAGUCACUAGACUUGUAGUAGGCCUGGGCUGCAGGCUUCCCCCGACCAUUCCCUGCAGCCAUGCGGCAGAGCUGGCAUUUCUCCUCAGAGAAGCGCUGUGCUAAGGUGAUCGAGGACCAGACAUUAAAGCGUGAUUUUCUU